rnacentral:tRNA from 1 species
UUAAAGAUAAGCUAAAAUUAAAGCUUUUUGGCUCAUACCCAAAAUAUAGAAUUUAUUCUUCUUUAAA